AUGUCUACCCCAAUCUUGGCCAGCAACGGUAGCACUGCUACUGAAACUUCAUAUCUGGAUGUUCAAAGACGGACAGCAGAUUACAAGCCCAGCAUCUGGAGUUACGAGUUUCUUCAAUCGUUACAGGUUGAAGAUCGUAAAUUCGAAGAACUAUACGAAGAUGAUAGGUGGAAGUCGAUGGAGGAGUGUGUGAAACAUAUGCUUGGCUAUGAUAAUGAUGCGCAGUCAGUAGAGACUAAACUUGAAUUGAUUGAUGACAUCCAACGAUUGGGUUUGGGACACCGGAUUCCAGGCCAGUAUAAUAGGAACCCUUCAUAGAAUUAUGAAGAAUCUUGACAGUACAGACGAGGAUACCCCAAGUCUCCACCUCACUGCUCUCAGCUUCAGACUCCUUCGACAGCAUGGUUUUCAAGUCUCCCAAGAUGUCUUCAAGAAUUUCACGGACUGCGACGGCAGCUUCAAGGAUUGCCUUUGCAAAGAUGUCAAAGGAAUGCUGAGUCUGUACGAAGCUUCAUUCCUUGGUUUUGAAGGAGAAACCCUCUUGGAUGAGGCCCUUGCAUUCACCAGCAUGCACCUAAAAAACCUCAGCUGCAGGUUACUUGAUACUCACGGCAGAAAUGUAUUAGAGCAAGUGAGUCAUGCAUUGGAGAUGCCAUUGCACCACAGAAUGCAAAGAUUAGAAGCUAGAUGGUAUAUUGAGGUAUAUAAUAAAAGGCAAGAUGCAAAUCAGAUGCUACUUGAAUUUGCCAAGCUAGAUUACGAUGUGGUGCAACAGACAUACCAAAGUGAUCUUAAAGACUUAUCAAGAUGGUGGAAGGAUAUGGGGUUAGCAAAGAAGUUGUCCUUCAGCAGAGACAGAUUGAUGGAGUGCUUCUUUUGGUCAGUUGGUAUAGUGUCUGAACCUCAAUUCAGCAAUCUCAGAAAAGGGAUAACUAAAGUCAGUGUUCUAAUAUGCACAAUUGAUGAUGUGUAUGAUGUUUAUGGUACUCUGGAUGAACUAAAGUUAUUCACAUCUGUUGUUGAAAGAUGGGAUGUGAAUGCUGUGGAAAUUCUACAAGACUACCAGCUGAAGCUCUCUUUCCUUGCUCUCUUCAACACUGUGAAUGAAAUGGCAUAUGAAACUUUGAAAGACCAAGGAGUGGACGUCCUUCCUUACUUGACAAAAGCUUGGACUGAUAUGUGCAAAGCUUUCUUAACGGAGGCAGAGUGGCGUUACAACAAUUACACACCCACAUUUGAAGAAUAUAUUGCCAAUGCAUGGAUAUCAGUGUCCGGGGUGCUCCUAUUAGUGCAUACAUAUUUUCUACUGAAUCAAAAUAUCUCAGAUGAAGCACUUGAAUGCUUAGUGAAUCACCAUGAUCUCUUGCGCUGGCCGUCUCUUAUUUUUCGGCUCUCAAACGAUUUGGCUACUUCCGAGGCAGAAAUAGAGAGAGGUGAAACUGCAACUUCAAUAUCCUGCAUCAAUCGUGGAAGUAGUGAUGUUUGUGAUCAGGCAUCUGCUCGCCAAUUCAUUAGGAAUUUGAUUGAGAAGAGUUGGAAGAAGAUGAACAAAGAUGGACUACUAAAUGGUGCCAGUGGUGCUUCUUCUCCAUUUACAAAGGAAUUUGUAGCAGCAGCAACAAACCUUGCUCGGAUUGCCCAAUGCAUAUACCAAUAUGGAGACGGGAUCAGUGCUCCGGACAAAAUAGCCAAGAACCGGAUCCUAGCAGUGCUUCUACAACCAGUACUUAAAGGGAAUAGAGCUCUGUAG